UUUUAGUUGGUUUUUUUCGCCAGGUCCCCCCCUCACCCCUACGUAAAAAAACCGCCUCUCCUCUGGAUCCACCCCCUCCCGCUGCGACCUCUCUCUUUCCCCCAUCUCCCGCUCCACCGCCGCCGCCCCAUCUCCCGCUUCACCGCCGCCCUCCCUGGCGGUACAGGGGAAACCCUAGACCACGCGCGCCGCCACCCUAUCUCCCUGCCCUUCGUCUCGCCGUCGCCGGAGGAGCGGCCGACGAAGCCCGCGUCGCCUCCAAGGAAGGCGACGAUGGGGCCCUUCUUCCGUUUCCGUAGGCCAUGGCUGCCUGAGCGGCCCGGAGGAUGGACUGCGCGGUGAUGGCGCGUAGAGGUGUGGCGUAUCCCGUGCAGGCGAGCUCGUCGCAGCGUGCAGGAGGGCGUGGCACCAUGGCAGUGUGGUGGAGGGCGUCGUGGAGCAGGGCAUCGAUCUGGAGGGCGUGGGCGGGAGCGCCCGUGCUCCGGGCCGCAAGGAGGCUCGCGGGUGCAUCGCCUGCGUGCGGCGCAGGGCGCCAGAGUUGAUGCGGCCUCAGCCACUGGUCUAGCGGCGCCCUGCUGCUUGAGUGGGCGGGCGGGCCGGCCAGAUCUGGCCUGGCUGUGGAGGUGGGCGUCCCUGCUGAUGGCGCUGCUGGCCUCCAGAGGGCGGGCGUUCUUGGGCAGCUGGUGCGGGGCGUGCGGCUGCACGUGAGGGCUGGCGCGGAUCUGGGCAUGGCAGCGCGAAGUGGCCGUUUCUCCGCGACUGGUCGGUGGUUGGAGGGGCUGUAGGUGCGCUGGUCUUACACGGUGAUGCUUGGCGAGGUGGGCUACUCGGGUCCACUGGUUGGAUGGUUGAGGUUGCCGGCGAAAGCUGAACUCCGGCAGUGGCCGGAGUUGUCGAUGGCCGCGCCGGCAGGCCGUUUCCUUGCUGAAGCUUGCUUGCUUUGUAUUGCGCAGCAGCCAGACAUGCCCAUCCGGCUGGAAAGGAAUCGGCAAGCUGCAGACCGAUGAAGCUAAGUAGUUUUGUUAUCUUUGUUUGCACAGCCAGAUAGCACGCCUUCUUGCUGAUUACUUCUUCCCGUACACUCACGUGAAACAACAUAGAUUCACUAAUUGAUUUUGGCCAGAUGCGCUAAUACAGAAAGUUAGCUUGAUUAGUUAAUCUUCAGCUAGAUGAGCGCACACAUGUAACGCACAGAACGCGCAAACACGGGAAAAUCUAUUGGAUGGCAAUAGGUGUGUGACGCACCUAUGUUUUUAUUGUUUUGAUCUGGUGAAGUUCAAAGGGGUUCUUAUUUUCAUAAGGCCAAAUGAUGUUCAUCAGUGCGUUGGAUACCUUUCCUCUUUUUUGCUAUGUAUGUUUUCAUGAUAUUUCUCUUGUCCUUUACAUAAAAUAUCUUUCUAUUACCCCUCGGAUGACUCCCAAAUGUUGUAGUUCAUCUGUCAAAAAAGGUGCUUUGCCUGAUAAUAAUUUUUUUGUUAUAUUUGUUAAAUAGUACACUGCAACAUUGAUUGUGCUAGGCGUGAUGGAAGCGUGAUGCUCGCAGACACUUGUCAAGAUGCGGAAGGAUGGGAACACAGUGGUGGGGAACUUGGGUAUAUGAAUGAUAGACAUGAUCAGAAUAUGCAUGCCACAUUAGGUUGACAUGGAGUGGAGAGGAGCCAAGGUAGGGGUGGUGAAGAGAGUCAUUGGAAGAACAAAGAAUAAGGUAUUUAGCGGGAAAUAAGGCAAAAAAUCAGUUGGACACAUAACGUUUAGCAAAAAUGAGCUCACCAUUUUUGAGUGUUUACUACAUCCUGGUCAUCUACAAGUACUACAAGACAUCAUAUGUAACUACAACCUUCCUCUUCAACAUGUCGUUUAUUUUGCGGGUGUCAUGUCUUUUAUUUUUGCGGGUAGCAGUUAUGUUGAAGACAAUUCUUUAUUUCUUUUGUAAGGUGAAAUACAAUCAUGUUAAUUAUUGUAUGAUGUAGAUUUAUAUAGAGAGAGUGGUUACUACCUUUUUUCCAUUCUAUCCAAAAAACGGAUUGGGUUCUACCAUCAAAAGCGAUAACCGAUAAAAACAAGAAAAAUCAACCAGGUCGGUGACUUCUUUGCUGAUUUACCAUUAAACUCAAAUUAGUAUUUAAUGCAAUGAAGGUCAAACUCUUGUCCGUACUGAAUUUUGUCUUUUUUGCAGGAGAGAGGGAGGAGUUGGCCGGCAUGGGGUCAUGAGUGGUACAAACAGGAAGAUGCACGCCCAUGGUUUUGUCGGUUCAGUUUACUGUGGAUUUUCAGUUCUUUUCAUCUCAUAAUUAUCUUUAUUUAUGUGUUAAGCUUUUAUUUUUCUUUUGGUCCUUCCCACUUGAGGCCUCUUGUGCACCUUGAUUUAGUUCUGUUCUUUAUUCGGUGCCAGUGUCUUAGGACAAUACUUUCAUGCAUGGAUUAUUUCCAGCAUUCAAAUUUGGAUACCUUUGUUCCACUAGGUUCGUUGCAUUCACCUUAUUGAAGAUAAUAAACACUUAUUGAGGAACAUGCUAAGGAUGGAGGAACGGACCUCAAGUUCCAGCUGCAUAUUAUUCAGCUUGAUUCAUUGCUCAGGAUUUUUGAAGAUAUGGCUUCUAAUUCCAUCAACCAAGAACUUAAUUCAGAAUCUAAAAUUUAAAGGUGAGGUAGAGGAAUAUUGCCUGUCCUGUCCAGAAACAAUGCUCGUUUUUUUAUUCCAGACGAUGUAUUUCUUGUGUCUGAUGGAUUGAGUUUUGAGUUGGAACAUAAGUAUAUUAGUGUCAUAGAAUUUGCACAUAUGCUUUAUCCACUUGUGAUUACUAUUUACACAGCAUAUAUUUAUAUUUGGAUUACAGAUUCUCUGUACUUGUUGUUGUACUUUGUGUUUUCUACUGAUUGUGGUGCCUCUUGAAGCAGGGAAAGCUAGGAGUCAUUGAUGACAGGUAUGGAAGUUGGUGGACACCUCCAAGGAUGUGGAGGUGAGCAUCAUGGUGAUGCGACACAACCUCGGGGCGGCGCUGGCCACCCUGAACACGUUCGAAAUCUUUGAGAAUGGCCAGUCACGGCGUUUGCGUUUGUUAGGCCGCGCGUGGGCGGUGCCAGCUUUAAGAAGCGGUUCCGCGUCUACCACGCCCUCCGUGUCCGCAUCGCCCGGGACAUCAUGUCCAGGUACUCGAAGCUGUUGUACCACACCAUGGGGUCCGAGUUGGCCAUCGACAUCGGCACGUCGCCAUACCUGAGGGCGUCGCUGUCCGGUUUAUUUUUGCUGUUCGGAUCCCGCAAGGUGAGUUGAAUCAAUCUUGUACGCCUUAGGCGAUGCCCCAGCUUUUUUGAUAUCCGUCGACAUGAUUCCUCACAUAUAAACCAUGCAGCAGCCAUGGACAACCUUCAUCUGAAGAAGCUAUUGUUUGCUCCGGUGUAUUUGAUUUUGUCUUUCCUCUUUUCUAUGGUUGUGAGCAAUGAAAUCCAAUUUGCAUCUCCCUACAUGAUCAAGGCUACGGUGUGAAUUAUGACCAUCCGUCGGAUGAGGACACGAUUGUGGCAGGGAUGUUGGUGGCAUGAAGUUGUAUAGUAGCAGGAUGGUCUAAACUCAGCCACUAGAGAUUUGAGCUACUUUUUGGUCAUUUUCUACUCAAUUCUAGAGUUCUAUUGCAUUAUCAUAAUUUUUCAUAUCUCAGUAAAGUGGAUGUUUUUUAGGUUAAUAGUAAAGUGCAUGUCAGUACCUCCAAAAGGAUUUUUUUUCAUGAAAAUUGUUUUUUCCUGAUGGUAAUCAUUUUCAUACAAACUGCUAUAGUUGCUUGCCCUUUUGGCAGCAUUUGCUCAGAAGCUUGACUGCCGAGACUAGACUAGACUAGCUUGAUUUUCUUGAUACAUCUAAAUAUUCCAAUGUGAUAUGUUAAAAAUACAGGGAGGAUAUUUGUUUGGCUUAUGAGGAGAUUUUGGUUAACCAACGUUGACGCUUUCACUCGCUCACCAUGUUCAUUUGGUCUGGAUUACUUCUCUAACAUUUUAAAAAUUGCUACUGUCAAGUUUCAGUUGGCGCGGGUGUACAGCAGAGGUAUAUAUGUGAUAAGGUGCUGUGAUCAUGAGAAAAAGUAUGCCGUACAGAGGGGAUCAAGCUGUAUAUUGCUAUGUGGAAUGCUUUGAUUCGAGGUGCUGUCGGGUUGGGAGCAUGAAACAUGCUCUGUAGUUCUUUGGUUCAAUGCAGGAGGAAGGGAUGUACAUAGACCCGAAGAUCUUUAUUAAGAUCAUCCACGGGUUGUGGAAGCAAGGGGAGUGAGAUUAAAUCAAGAAGUUUUUUGACAAAAUGAGGAUUCAAUGGCUCAAGGAGAAUAUCCUGCUUCUGGUACUUGCCUUCUACCUCACAAUGUUAACACAAAAGUUACUAUAUCUGUAAGACAUGCCCUCUCUCGUUUAAUGAUGUCCUGAAAUUUCCACAUAAAACUUGGUAAUCAUGCCAAGUAAUCAUGCUAAUUUUGAGAGAAGUUCAAGUGGCAUGCCCCCAUUUGCCAUGGUUGCGAUGUACUAAUAAGCUGCAGGACUAAUUUUUUUAUUAUUGGACUGAUAUUCUAAAGUUACAUAUGUAAGAGCAUAUUAUAUUUCUCAUAAACAACUGCAGUUAAGAUUCCAUGCUCUUCAUGCGUUGAACGAGUUCGCUGUUGAGCAAGCUACAGUCUCUUUGUUUGACUAGCUAGGCUGUGUUGUGUACAUGUAAAAGAUGAUCCUUCUGUGGCUACUUGCAUGUGUAUAUGUGUUGAAGCUCUUCGGCAUUUUUUAAGAUAAACUCUUUCCGUUGUUUGACUACCACAAGGCUCCAAGAGCCCUCAUUUCUGCAUGUAUAUUUUGUUGUACAGCCUAUGCUGGUUUGCCGCACCAACCCAAUUCUCUUUGUAGACUUUGAUUUAGUCAUGUGCUGAAGCAAAUUCUUCCUACCUUAUUCCUCAAGAGUUGAAGAGGAUGGGAAGACACAUGUGCUAAAGCAAAAUAGAUCAGUAUAUUCAGAAUCUACCCAAUGGCUUACCUUAACUUACAUGUAGUGUGAGCCUGCUCACAUAGCAAGAAACCUAUCCUUUUAUUCUGCUAGAAUUGAGUGCCCACUAUUAAAAUUCAUAACUGGAACCAUAAAUUACGUAUUCUCUGUGCAAUGUCACCCGUAACCGGUUGCUCUAUAUCUUUCCUCUCUCGAGCGUACUUUUAUUUCUGUAUUCCAUGCUAUGGUAGUAUUUUUCUGCCGCAACAAUUUGUUUUUGUUAUCUUGUCGGUGAUAGUGGCAGGCUGUUUUGACAGUGCGAUAAUGUCAUGAGCAUUCUAAUUAUAUAGCAGAUGAACUGGCAAAAACAUACUGACACUUUUGAACCUUCAUAAAUUCAGAAAUGAAGUCGAGAUUGUUGCUUAACAGAUCAAGUAAUUGCACUUUUAUAUAGUAUAUAAACUUGUUGCAAAACUUUAGUUUAGUACAUCAAUUUGCUGAUAUUUUGGGGAACAGAGUUCACACCGCCAACUAGAUAUGUGGAACUGCACAUGUUCUUGUUGAGUUGCUUCUUGAACAGGCGUGUCUCUUUUUAUGAUAUUUUGUAAGAUUUCCUUUUGGCCCCCACACUAGCAGAUUACUUGGAGUUCAGCUAAUCAUUUUCUUACCAUCCGAUAUUCUCAUCAUUUUCUUCUUAAUAUAAACCAAACUUUGUAUGUACUAGAUAUGGUUAUUACUCUAUCCGUUGAGGGUGCAAUAAUAUUGUUUUCUAUCUCCUCGAGGAUGUCCCCAACCGUGUGAAGGUGUUUAAGGAAGGAGGUUCAGAGUCAUCAUCGUAGUAUGGAGACGCUGCCCAUGUUGUCAUCAUAGUAUGGAGCGGCUACAACUCUAAGUGGAGGUGGUGUAUAUGUCGGAGUGAUUUAUUCUUGACAAACGUGGAGUGCGGCUUGUUCGGAUCUGCCUUCUUGGCUCUCUGGGCAUCAUGAGCGGCACAUGUCUCACCCCCCUUGAUGGUGGCGACGAAUCGGCACGAACACGGGGGGAGGGGAUCAAGAUGGAGAGCGGGACAGUUGGCGGGGGAUUCCUCCUUGGCGGUUCAUGGGGAAGUAUGGUGUCAAGAAGAGAAGGCACCAUGGCGAGGGAAAGGUGGGCAUCAUACAGUUUUAAAGGAUAAGACUCUAGCGAGAAAUCUCCCGCUACGACGGGAAACCGAGCAGGAAAAGGAUGGUCCGACGGGAAACUAAGCAUCAUGGGGUGGGGUUCUUGUGUUGGGACCACGUGUUGGAGAUAACAUGACAGAUAAUUCAGACAACCACAUUUCUUUCCCAUA